UCGGAUAUGGUGUAAUGGUUAACAUUACCGCCUCUCAUAGCUGAUGUGAACGCGGUAGCUCGGGGUUCGAUUCCCCGUAUCCGAA